GGUUAAGCGACUAAGCGUACACGGUGGAUGCCCUGGCAGUCAGAGGCGAUGAAGGACGUGCUAAUCUGCGAUAAGCGUCGGUAAGGUGAUAUGAACCGUUAUAACCGGCGAUUUCCGAAUGGGGAAACCCAGUGUGUUUCGACACACUAUCAUUAACUGAAUCCAUAGGUUAAUGAGGCGAACCGGGGGAACUGAAACAUCUAAGUACCCCGAGGAAAAGAAAUCAACCGAGAUUCCCCCAGUAGCGGCGAGCGAACGGGGAGCAGCCCAGAGCCUGAAUCAGUGUGUGUGUUAGUGGAAGCGUCUGGAAAGGCGCGCGAUACAGGGUGACAGCCCCGUACACAAAAAUGCACAUGCUGUGAGCUCGAUGAGUAGGGCGGGACACGUGGUAUCCUGUCUGAAUAUGGGGGGACCAUCCUCCAAGGCUAAAUACUCCUGACUGACCGAUAGUGAACCAGUACCGUGAGGGAAAGGCGAAAAGAACCCCGGCGAGGGGAGUGAAAAAGAACCUGAAACCGUGUACGUACAAGCAGUGGGAGCACGCUUAGGCGUGUGACUGCGUACCUUUUGUAUAAUGGGUCAGCGACUUAUAUUCUGUAGCAAGGUUAACCGAAUAGGGGAGCCGAAGGGAAACCGAGUCUUAACUGGGCGUUAAGUUGCAGGGUAUAGACCCGAAACCCGGUGAUCUAGCCAUGGGCAGGUUGAAGGUUGGGUAACACUAACUGGAGGACCGAACCGACUAAUGUUGAAAAAUUAGCGGAUGACUUGUGGCUGGGGGUGAAAGGCCAAUCAAACCGGGAGAUAGCUGGUUCUCCCCGAAAGCUAUUUAGGUAGCGCCUCGUGAAUUCAUCUCCGGGGGUAGAGCACUGUUUCGGCAAGGGGGUCAUCCCGACUUACCAACCCGAUGCAAACUGCGAAUACCGGAGAAUGUUAUCACGGGAGACACACGGCGGGUGCUAACGUCCGUCGUGAAGAGGGAAACAACCCAGACCGCCAGCUAAGGUCCCAAAGUCAUGGUUAAGUGGGAAACGAUGUGGGAAGGCCCAGACAGCCAGGAUGUUGGCUUAGAAGCAGCCAUCAUUUAAAGAAAGCGUAAUAGCUCACUGGUCGAGUCGGCCUGCGCGGAAGAUGUAACGGGGCUAAACCAUGCACCGAAGCUGCGGCAGCGACGCUUAUGCGUUGUUGGGUAGGGGAGCGUUCUGUAAGCCUGUGAAGGUGUACUGUGAGGUAUGCUGGAGGUAUCAGAAGUGCGAAUGCUGACAUAAGUAACGAUAAAGCGGGUGAAAAGCCCGCUCGCCGGAAGACCAAGGGUUCCUGUCCAACGUUAAUCGGGGCAGGGUGAGUCGACCCCUAAGGCGAGGCCGAAAGGCGUAGUCGAUGGGAAACAGGUUAAUAUUCCUGUACUUGGUGUUACUGCGAAGGGGGGACGGAGAAGGCUAUGUUGGCCGGGCGACGGUUGUCCCGGUUUAAGCGUGUAGGCUGGUUUUCCAGGCAAAUCCGGAAAAUCAAGGCUGAGGCGUGAUGACGAGGCACUACGGUGCUGAAGCAACAAAUGCCCUGCUUCCAGGAAAAGCCUCUAAGCAUCAGGUAACAUCAAAUCGUACCCCAAACCGACACAGGUGGUCAGGUAGAGAAUACCAAGGCGCUUGAGAGAACUCGGGUGAAGGAACUAGGCAAAAUGGUGCCGUAACUUCGGGAGAAGGCACGCUGAUAUGUAGGUGAAGUCCCUCGCGGAUGGAGCUGAAAUCAGUCGAAGAUACCAGCUGGCUGCAACUGUUUAUUAAAAACACAGCACUGUGCAAACACGAAAGUGGAAGUAUACGGUGUGACGCCUGCCCGGUGCCGGAAGGUUAAUUGAUGGGGUCAGCGCAAGCGAAGCUCUUGAUCGAAGCCCCGGUAAACGGCGGCCGUAACUAUAACGGUCCUAAGGUAGCGAAAUUCCUUGUCGGGUAAGUUCCGACCUGCACGAAUGGCGUAAUGAUGGCCAGGCUGUCUCCACCCGAGACUCAGUGAAAUUGAACUCGCUGUGAAGAUGCAGUGUACCCGCGGCAAGACGGAAAGACCCCGUGAACCUUUACUAUAGCUUGACACUGAACAUUGAGCCUUGAUGUGUAGGAUAGGUGGGAGGCUUUGAAGUGUGGACGCCAGUCUGCAUGGAGCCGACCUUGAAAUACCACCCUUUAAUGUUUGAUGUUCUAACGUGGACCCGUAAUCCGGGUUGCGGACAGUGUCUGGUGGGUAGUUUGACUGGGGCGGUCUCCUCCUAAAGAGUAACGGAGGAGCACGAAGGUUGGCUAAUCCUGGUCGGACAUCAGGAGGUUAGUGCAAUGGCAUAAGCCAGCUUGACUGCGAGCGUGACGGCGCGAGCAGGUGCGAAAGCAGGUCAUAGUGAUCCGGUGGUUCUGAAUGGAAGGGCCAUCGCUCAACGGAUAAAAGGUACUCCGGGGAUAACAGGCUGAUACCGCCCAAGAGUUCAUAUCGACGGCGGUGUUUGGCACCUCGAUGUCGGCUCAUCACAUCCUGGGGCUGAAGUAGGUCCCAAGGGUAUGGCUGUUCGCCAUUUAAAGUGGUACGCGAGCUGGGUUUAGAACGUCGUGAGACAGUUCGGUCCCUAUCUGCCGUGGGCGCUGGAGAACUGAGGGGGGCUGCUCCUAGUACGAGAGGACCGGAGUGGACGCAUCACUGGUGUUCGGGUUGUCAUGCCAAUGGCACUGCCCGGUAGCUAAAUGCGGAAGAGAUAAGUGCUGAAAGCAUCUAAGCACGAAACUUGCCCCGAGAUGAGUUCUCCCUGACUCCUUGAGAGUCCUGAAGGAACGUUGAAGACGACGACGUUGAUAGGCCGGGUGUGUAAGCGCAGCGAUGCGUUGAGCUAACCGGUACUAAUGAACCGUGAGGCUUAACCUU
rnacentral:rRNA from 1 species